GUACACUCCUACGGGAGGCAGCAGUGGGGAAUAUUGCACAAUGGGCGCAAGCCUGAUGCAGCCAUGCCGCGUGUAUGAAGAAGGCCUUCGGGUUGUAAAGUACUUUCAGCGGGGAGGAAGGCAAUACGGUUAAUAACCGUGUUGAUUGACGUUACCCGCAGAAGAAGCACCGGCUAACUCCGUGCCAGCAGCCGCGGUAAUACGGAGGGUGCAAGCGUUAAUCGGAAUUACUGGGCGUAAAGCGCACGCAGGCGGUCUGUCAAGUCGGAUGUGAAAUCCCCGGGCUCAACCUGGGAACUGCAUUCGAAACUGGCAGGCUUGAGUCUUGUAGAGGGGGGUAGAAUUCCAGGUGUAGCGGUGAAAUGCGUAGAGAUCUGGAGGAAUACCGGUGGCGAAGGCGGCCCCCUGGACAAAGACUGACGCUCAGGUGCGAAAGCGUGGGGAGCAAACAGGAUUAGAUACCCCAGUAGUCCCA
rnacentral:rRNA from 1 species